UACGUAGGGGGCAAGCGUUGUCCGGAAUUAUUGGGCGUAAAGGGCGCGCAGGCGGUUUCCUAAGUCUGAUGUGAAAGCCCACGGCUCAACCGUGGAGGGGCAUUGGAAACUGGGGAACUUGAGUGCAGGAGAGGAGAGCGAAAUUCCACGUGUAGCGGUGAAAUGCGUAGAGAUGUGGAGGAACACCAGUGGCGAAGGCGGCUCUCUGGCCUGUAACUGACGCUGAGGCGCGAAAGCGUGGGGAGCGAACAGG
rnacentral:rRNA from 1 species